UACGUAGGGUGCGAGCGUUGUCCGGAAUUAUUGGGCGUAAAGAGCUCGUAGGCGGUCUGUCACGUCGCUCGUGAAAACUUGGGGCUUAACCCUGAGCGUGCGGUCGAUACGGGCAUGACUUGAGUUCGGCAGGGGAGACUGGAAUUCCUGGUGUAGCGGUGAAAUGCGCAGAUAUCAGGAGGAACACCGGUGGCGAAGGCGGGUCUCUGGGCCGAUACUGACGCUGAGGAGCGAAAGCGUGGGGAGCGAACAGG
rnacentral:rRNA from 1 species